UUUGAAGCUUGUUAUACUUCGCCGAGGUAUAUCGAUUUCACAAAUAUUUUCGUCUUAGUUAAGUCAUUCAAGAAUAUGCAUUUCCCGAAAUAUGAGGCAUUGCAUUUGUAGGAACCGCAACAAGGAUAGCGAAAGUGUAUGUGGCUUGUGUGUAUUAUUAACAUUUCUUUGUUUGUAUAGUGAACAAAGAUCCUUUUCACCGCUCGCAAGGAAGUCCGAAGUGUCAGUGAGGGAAAUACGUCUGCAAUGGACGGAAUUUAAACCUGUCGUGUAUCAAAUCCAUUAUCCGCUUCAUCGUUCGUUUUCAUAUGUUGAAAAGCUGUUUUGGUAUUGAAGAUGAAUAGCAUAUGUGUAUAAUUGGUGUAUCAGUCGAGACCGCCUCAGUUCUCAGACUUGAACGAUACCGAUCGCACGCGAGGAAACGUACUGUGUUACAAGCCUAAACAAUUGGU